rnacentral:rRNA from 1 species
UUUUUUGCAUAAAAAGGUAAGCGGCUUAAAAGCAGUCGCGGAAAUGGGGCUUCGGCCCCUAGUAAAGUGGCGGACGGGUGAGUCUUAAAAGGGAAAUGUACCCUUCGGUGGGGGAUAACAGCCCGAAAGGGCUGCUAAUACCGCAUUCGUCGGCGAGGUCUGAGGGCCUUGUCGGGAAAGCUGGCCUCUUCAUGAAAGCUAGCGCCGAAGGAUCAGCCCGCGGCCCAUCAUGCUAGUUGGCGGUGUAAAAGACCACCAAGGCGAAGACGGGUAGCUGGUCUGAGAGGAUGAUCAGCCACACUGGAACUGAGACACGGUCCAGACUCCUACGGAGAGGCACCAGGGGGGAAAUUUGGGGAAAUGGGCGCAAGCCUGACCCACCCAUGCCCCGUGAGUGAUGAAGGCCUUCGGGUCGUAAAGCUUUUGGGGGAGGGGACGAAAACCCAAAUGCUAAUAUCUUCUGGAACUGACGGUACCUCCUUAGCAAGCAC